UGAGAAAAGAAGCUCCCACUGCUGCUAAUGAAGAAGAAAUACCAACGAGUAGCAAUUUUGAUAAAGUAAUCCUCCUCUGAAGCAAUAAUGGUAGAAUCAAACACAUUAGAAGUAAAGCUAUUUCGGACCUAACAAUCGCUGCGGCAAAAACUAAAAUACUGAUAGAGCCGUAAUAAUUAUUUUUAAGUAACAAAGAAAGAGAGUGGUUCGUAGCUAUUAGUCCGAAAAUAUUUGACAAUGGUCUGGACAUAUAGUACACGAGGUGAAAUUGAGCGCAGCUAAACAGUAUAAACAGUGCUCCAGACAAUGUGCCGAAUCGUUUGCUAAUGGAGCAGCUUACAGAAUUCAUACUCUCCCAACUUAAAUACCCAAUUGUCCAUCUAGCGGCAAGUAAUGGAUUAACAAACCAAGAAGGUAUAUAGGACAAAACUGCUAUAAACAAACUCGGUAUGAAACUCCGUUUAACGGCUCCUGGAAACUCCAGAUGAUCAUACUAAAAUAUGUGAGUAAUUUAAAUAAGGAAAUAAUUAUCAACUACUACCUUUGACAAAUCCCAACGAUACGUCUGAAUGUCAUGAAUCGCUUGCAUAGCAAACGACUCUUCUACCUUUGUAAACGGAGUUUUGUACGAAUAAUACCCUAUGCAUGUCACAAGCAAAAUAUUUGCCAAAUACCAACAAAUGCUCUCUUUAGAAGUCAUCCCGCUUCAUCAUUUAUUGAAAGCAUACAAAUAGUUAUUGGAGAAAGAGCAAAGGUGAAUGAAUAUACGUAAAUAAAGCAACGAUUAAUUUUGCUAAAUCUAGUUUAAG